CCUCCCCUCCCCUCCCCUCCCCUCCAUCAUUUUAGUGUUUACCGAAACACUGUUGUAGAUCAAUCUCUUCCAAGAACAUCUCCAGAUUUCUAUUUAUUCCUUCACCACAUGAUACUUUGAUCCAUGUAUUUCUCUUGAAGAUUCGAUUGCAGAGUUGAAGUUUUGUUUAAGCUCAGAAAAUUUAGUCAAAAAAGUAAUCUGUUCUGACAGUUGAAAAUUUUGAUGAAUUUGUGGAGAAUCGGCUACCUUCUCUUGCAAAAGUUCUACUCAGUCUACAUUAUGGCUGAGCAAGCUGUGCUGAAUGCUCAUGGUCAGAGCAGUAUUCUCUGGCAGAUGCUGUCUUAUGGUAUUAGGAUCUUUCAAUGGCUGCUAAACUGAUUUACAAGGUGAGGGAACCCAAGAUUAAUCCACAUCAAAUCUCUUUCAAAAGUGGUAUGGGAUCAGCCUCCCAAAUAACUAAUAUGGGAUCACAACAAAUCCAUGCACCGGAAUUGUUCGAUUCGAGAAGUGGAAGUGCAAAAGAAAUGAUUUUUUUAUUUUAUUCCCACAGCAUGUUAGCACCUUACCUAAUAUCUCUGAGCCCAGUAGAGCUCCUCAUGGUGCAUGCGAUUCUCAAGCUUGUUACAUAACUCUUAUGCUUGCUUACCAAGGAAGUCCUUAAAGAGUUAGCCUGUAUUUGUUCUAAUUCUUCUUCCUCUUCUUCAUUAAUUUUACAAAUCUUAAGACUCGUAUUACCAAAUUCCUUCGUACUUCAUUUCCUCAAA